UACAGGAAAAAAAGUAUACCUACAAGUUUAUGGUUUGCAGGUCAUUGUCAUCUACCCUACUUCCACCUGCCAUAAUAAAUUCUGGUGAAAUAUCUACUCCUGAGUACUGAACUUAAAGAUUUUUUUUCCCAAGCCUUCAAUAUUUACCACCUUGUGCCAGAUUACAUCAUGUAACCUUCAACAAUGUUGUGACAUUUUUUUGGUUGAUGGGACGUAGAGGAGCAGGGGACCACAUCCGCCUGAAAUUUCUUUGAUGUUCCCCACAGGAAGUUUUUCAAUAUUUGAUCACUUGGAUGUUUUUGGGGUAUUUCAUUGUGGUCAAGACCUAGGACAACCGCCUGCUAUUUCUGCAAGUGGGUGAUGAGAAAGGUGGUCCUGUUCAUUCUGCUCUGCAAAGCUUCCAGCUGCAGGGAGCAGCCGUGGUGAGCAGCGGCAGGGACGCUGCUGAGCACAGGCUCCAGCGAGAGCCUGCAGGACAGUGCCAUGGCUUCUUCCAUGCUGAAUUCAGUGGGCCUCUGGAAAAUAAUGUUCAGUUCAAGUGCCAAGAACAACCCCUUGUCCUGUGCUGUGAAAGAGUUAAUAGGCGCUGAGCUAGAGGUUGCUGCUCUUCAAUAGUGAGUGAAUCUGCUACGUACCUUUGAAGAAACCAGCACAGAA